rnacentral:rRNA from 1 species
UGGGGAAUCUUCCGCAAUGGACGAAAGUCUGACGGAGCAACGCCGCGUGAGUGAAGAAGGCCUUCGGGUUGUAAAGCUCUGUCUUUGGGGACGAACGUGCCUAUCAUAAAUAAUGAUAGGUAAUGACGGUACCUAAGGAGGAAGCCACGGCUAACUACGUGCCAGCAGCCGCGGUAAUACGUAGGUGGCAAGCGUUGUCCGGAAUUAUUGGGCGUAAAGCGCGCGCAGGCGGGAUAUCAAGUCUAUCUUAAAAGUUCGGGGCUCAACCCCGUGAUGGGAUGGAAACUGGUAUUCUUGAGUGUCGGAGAGGAAAGUGGAAUUCCCAGUGUAGCGGUGAAAUGCGUAGAUAUUGGGAGGAACACCAGUGGCGAAGGCGACUUUCUGGACGAUGUCUGACGCUGAGGCGCGAAAGCCAGGGGAGUGAACG